CAAGAGGGAAGUUUUGUAAAAGCAACAGGAAGAAUUGCUCAGAUACCCGUGAGCGUAUAUAACUUGGGUCGUGUUAUAAAUGCUCUGGCUAAACCUAUUGAUGGGAGAGGCGAAAUUGUAGCUUCCGAAUCUCGCUUAAUUGGAUCUCCUGCUCCAAGUAGAAUUUCCAGGCGUUCCGUAUACGAACCUCUUCAAACAGGGCUUAUUGCUAUCGAUUCGAUGAUCCCUAUAGGGCGCGGUCAGCGAGAGUUCAUUAUUGGGGACAGACAGACUGGCAAAACAGCAGUAGCCACAGAUACAAUUCUCAAGAAAAAAGGGCAAGGUGUAAUAUGUGUUUAUGUAGCUAUCGGUCAAAGAGCAUCCUCCGUAGCUCAAGUAGUAACUACUUUCCAUGAGGAGGGGGCCAUGGAAUACACUAUUGUAGUAGCUGAAAUGGCGGAUUCACCUGCUACAUUACAAUACCUCGCUCCUUAUACGGGAGCAGCCCUAGCUGAGUAUUUUAUGUACCGCGAACGGCAUACUUUAAUAAUUUAUGAUGAUCUCUCCAAACAGGCACAAGCUUAUCGCCAAAUGUCCCUUCUAUUAAGUCCCGGCCGUGAGGCUUAUCCAGGGGAUGUUUUUUAUUUGCAUUCACGCCUUUUAGAAAGAGCCGCGAAAUUAAAUUCUCUUUUAGGCGAAGGAAGUAUGACCGCUUUACCAAUAGUUGAGACUCAAUCUGGAGACGUUUCCGCCUAUAUUCCUACUAAUGUAAUCUCCAUUACAGAUGGACAAAUAUUCUUAUCUGCGGAUCUAUUCCAU
rnacentral:rRNA from 1 species